UGGGGAAUAUUGGACAAUGGGCGCAAGCCUGAUCCAGCCAUGCCGCGUGAGUGAUGAAGGCCUUAGGGUUGUAAAGCUCUUUCACCGAUGAAGAUAAUGACGGUAGUCGGAGAAGAAGCCCCGGCUAACUUCGUGCCAGCAGCCGCGGUAAUACGAAGGGGGCUAGCGUUGUUCGGAUUUACUGGGCGUAAAGCGCACGUAGGCGGUUUGUUAAGUCAGGGGUGAAAUCCCAGAGCUCAACUCUGGAACUGCCUCUGAUACUGGCAAGCUAGAGUCCGGAAGAGGUAAGUGGAACUCCUAGUGUAGAGGUGGAAUUCGUAGAUAUUAGGAAGAACACCAGUGGCGAAGGCGGCUUACUGGUCCGGAACUGACGCUGAGGUGCGAAAGCGUGGGGAGCAAACA
rnacentral:rRNA from 1 species